GAAUGGCGCCCAGUUUCACGAGUAAAGGUACUUACUACAGCUUAAUUGUAAAACUGCAACGUAGUCAUAAAUGCCUCGGCAUUAGCCCUGGAGCCUCCUGUUAGCCGGCCUGUCACAUCGCCGGCUGGUUUCUGAAAUCGAUCGGUAGUUUAAAUAAAGUUCUUGAGGUGACGUAAAUCUGCUCUUGCGCAGUACGGAUCGGGUAGGUAGCAAAAGUAACGACUAACCUCCGCAAAGUGCAUUAAAAUAUGAAGAGAGAAAGUGACGUACGUUUGACACAUGCGGACCGAUUAGGUAGCAACAAGCACCUCUAGCGGUGUUGUUACCUGCUAGUUUGUGUGUUUUCUUUUAUUUCUCCAUGCUUAAUGGCGUUUGUUUUAACUGUGGUCAUGUGAUUUAAUGUUAAGUGUAAGUUGAAGAAUCUUAUAACAGUCGCUGAUGUUGGAUUUUAUUUUGUUUAUUGGAGUUUAGUGAAGUUUUAGUUCGGUGUAAAUAGACAUCAGUGAGAGUAUCAGGAGUCUCUGUUCAGCGGCGGCACACCGCUGCUUCACUGCACUCUGUCUCUCUCACUCUCUCCCUCUCUCGCUGUGAAGCUGCACCUUGAAGCUUGAGUAUUGAUUAGCUGUCUGAGAUCAGGAGAUUUCUUGAACAGGUAACAAUCAAACUCUUACUGUCAAAGUUAGUUUAACAUUUCACUCUCAGAUCGUGUACGUCGACUUUGUUAUGUCUCCUUUACAAUAUUCCAGCUCAGUCGCUCUUUCGUUCGCAGCUCUGAUGUGAGUGAGAAAUGUGGAGGUGUGUCAGAGCGCCGACGGUGGAGAUGAUUCUGCAGAAGUUGAAUCCAAAGAGGAAAAUCCUGCGAAGAUGAUUCAAAGCUAUAAAAAGAUGUUAAAACUCACAGAACAACUGAAACUGCUCUGCUACAAAGACCGACACAGACCCCCAACUUACCGGAGCUGAUGCAGAAAUCGAUAUCCGAGCAGCUGUAGGUCGACUGCCAUAGCAACAAACAUGAGCGAACAUCCCGGCGAGGAGGAAAGAAACUAACAAGCAAAUAUGUCAAUCUGCGAAGAGAUCAAUAUGCCAGCAAACAUACAGUUCAUUAAUAAAACCCAGCAGGCAGAACACGCGCUGCGGAAACAAACUGUUCAAACCCUCCAGUCCUCAGGAGACUCGGUGACUCCUGUCUGUGUGAUUUUCUCCUCCACAUCCACCACCUGGCUCCUCCUGCUGCUUCAAACAUCACCCGCUCUUCUUCAAUAAAAUCCUUCAG